rnacentral:rRNA from 1 species
GACGAACGCUGGCGGCGCGCCUAACACAUGCAAGUCGAGCGAACGGACCAGAAGUUUGCUUCUCUGAUGGUAGCGGCGGACGGGAGAGUAACAUGUGGACAACCUACCUAAAAGACUGGGAUAAUUACGGGAAACCGGAGCUAAUGCGGGAUAAUAUUUUGAACCGCAUGGGUCAAAAGUGAAAUACGGUCUUUCGGGCAGUUAUAGCUGGAUCCGCGCUGCAUUAGCUAGUUGGUAAGGUAACUGCUUACCAAGGUAAGGAUGCAUAGCCGACCUGAGAGGGUGAUCGGCCACACGGGAACUGAGCCACGGUCCAGACUCCUGCGGGAGGCAGCAGUAGGGAAUCUUACGCAAUGGGGGAGAGCCUAACGUAGCGACGCCGCGUGAGUGAUGAAGGUCCUCGGCUCGUAAAACUCUGUUAUUAGGGGGAAACAUAUGUGUAAGUACCUGUGCACAUCUUGACGGUACCUGGUCAAGAAGCCACGGCUAACUACGUG